rnacentral:rRNA from 1 species
GACGAACGCUGGCGGCGUGCCUAAUACAUGCAAGUAGGACGCAGUUGCGAACGGGUGAGUAACGCGUAGGUAACUGCCCAUUAGAGGGGGAUAACUAUUGGAAACGAUAGCUAAUACCGCAUACUAGUAGAUGGACCUGCGUUGUAUUAGCUAGUAGGUAGGGUAAUGGCCUACCAAGGCAACGAUACAUAGCCGAGCUGAGGGGGGGGUCGGGCACACUGGGAAUGGGACACGGCCCAGACUCCUACGGGAGGCAGCAGUAGGGAAUCUUCGGAAAAGGGGGGAAACCUGAACGGGCAAAGCCGCGUGAGUGAAGAAGGUUUUCGGGUCGUAAAGCUCUGUUGUUAAGGAAGCGGUACUUAACCAGAAAGGGACGGCUAACUACGUGCCAGCAGCCGCGGUAAUAC